rnacentral:lncRNA from 1 species
GAUAUUAGGUUGUCAACAGAAUGAAACACUACCAUCAUGACUACCAAAAGGAGAGACCAAGAAGAGAACUGAGCAUACCCGAAGAAGAAACUGAAUUUAAAACAAAUUUCAGCAGAAAGGUAACUUGUAAAACAAGGCAAUUAAACCAUCGUCCAGGGGACUUUGAGUACUAACUCUACUGAGUCAAUAAAAGGAGAAAGAUGAAUCCAAAACAGUUAAGCCUUGGGCCUAACAAAAUGUUUAGCAAAAAACUUUCUUGCAAAACAGGUGCUUCUUCAGACUGGGAAGCUACACUACUACAGAAACUAACACCAGGACGACGAUGCUAUUUGAAAAGAAUCAUGGAUACUUAUGAUUCUAAGCCUGAAUGGGAGAAACUGAAAAGGCAAUAUGCUCUCAGUCUCUUCUACAAAUAUUUCCUAGGUUAUGUUCCCAAAGACAAAAUCACAUCUUAUAUACCCCUUAUAAAACAUUAUUGUAAAAAACUACCUUUGAAGGAAAAAAAUAGAGAACCCAAAUAUUGGAAGACCUCUUCUUCUUUCCCGUCUUACAGAAGUCCUCCGCCUUACAGAAGUUCUACUUCUAGUUAUCCUUCUACUUCCAGUUAUACUGCGAGAAGAACUCUGAUCCCAUGUUACCCCUGUUACUGUACAUACUGUCAUUAGUGGACAAGGAUCUGAUGGAACAUGAAAAUUUCAAGAUGGAGCAUAGAAAUCAUAAAUGAUGAGCAAGAUGGUUUAAAAAAAUCCCUAGAACAACUUAUAUGAACUGAUGCAAAGUGAGGUGAAAUGAACAAGGAAAACAUUAUACACAGUAACAGCAAAUGUGAAAGGCUAGACUACUCUGAUCAACACAAUGAUGCAAGAAAUUUCAAGGACUUACAAUGAAAAAUGCUAUCCACUUGCAGAGAAAGAAAGGAUGGAAAAUGAAUGUAGAUUAAAGCAUACUUUUAAAAAUUUUUUUCUUGAGUUUUUGGUUUUUGCCUUGCCUUUUUUUUUGGUCUGUUUUUUUAUUUCACAACAUGCUAACAUGGAAAUAUGUUUUGUAUGAUUGUACACAUGAAAUCUUCAUCAAUUUUCUUGGCUUCUCAAGGAGGAAAGAGAGAGAAAUUUGGAAUUCAAAUUAAAGAAAAGUUAAGUUUAAAAGUUAAGAUUAUUUUUACAUGUAAUUGGAAAAUAAUAUAAAAUAUAAAAAAAAUUAAAAAUAAAAACCACUGUGCCAAUUCCA